CCUACGCGAGGCAGCAGUGAGGAAUAUUGGUCAAUGGGCGCGAGCCUGAACCAGCCAAGUCGCGUGAAGGAUGACUGCCCUACGGGUUGUAAACUUCUUUUAUCAGGGAAUAAAGUGAAGGACGUGUGCCUAUUUGUCUGUGCUUAAUGAAUAAGCAUCAGCUAACUCCGUGCCAGCAGCCGCGGUAAUACGGGGGAUCCGAGCGUUAUCCGGAUUUAUUGGGGUUAAAGGGAGAGUAGAUGGGUUGUUAAGUCAGUUGUGAAAGUUUGGGGCUCAACCCUCGAAUUGCAUGUGAUACUGGCAGUCUUGAGUACCGGUGAGGCAGGCGGAAUUCGUGGUGUAGCGGUGAAAUGCUUAGAUAUCACGAAGAACCCCGAUUGCGAAGGCAGCUUACUAAACUGCCACUGACAGUGAGGCGCGAAAGCGUGGGUAUCAAACAGGAUUAGAUACCCGAGUAGUC
rnacentral:rRNA from 1 species